rnacentral:rRNA from 1 species
AACGAACGCUGGCGGCAGGCUUAACACAUGCAAGUCGAGCGCCCCGCAAGGGGAGCGGCAGACGGGUGAGUAACGCGUGGGAAUCUACCCAUCUCUACGGAAUAACGCAUGGAAACGUGUGCUAAUACCGUAUACGUCCUUCGGGAGAAAGAUUUAUCGGAGAUGGAUGAGCCCGCGUUGGAUUAGCUAGUUGGUGGGGUAAAGGCCUACCAAGGCGACGAUCCAUAGCUGGUCUGAGAGGAUGAUCAGCCACACUGGGACUGAGACACGGCCCACACUCAUACGGGAGGCAGCAGUGGGGAAUAUUGGACGAUGGGCGCAAGCUUGAUCCAGCCAUGCCGCGUGAGUGAUGAAGGCCCUAGGGUUGUAAAGCUCUUUCACCGGUGAAGAUAAUGACGGUAACCGGAGAAGAAGCCCCGGCUAACUUCGUGCCAGCCGCCGCCGUAACAC